rnacentral:rRNA from 1 species
UACGUAGGGUGCAAGCGUUAAUCGGAAUUACUGGGCGUAAAGCGUGCGCAGGCGGUUAUGUAAGACAGGUGUGAAAUCCCAGGGCUUAACCUUGGAACUGCAUUUGUGACUGCAUAGCUAGAGUACGGUAGAGGGGGAUGGAAUUCCGCGUGUAGCAGUGAAAUGCGUAGAUAUGCGGAGGAAUACCGAUGGCGAAGGCAGCCCCCUGGGAUGACACUGACGCUCAUGCACGAAAGCGUGGGGAGCAAACAGG